rnacentral:lncRNA from 1 species
AAAGUUCAACUGCUAAUUAAUAAAAUUAUGGUCAAACACGUAAUGUCAGAGCAUACGUCUAUUACAGAGUACAAACAGAAUUUAAUAUAGAGAUGUGCUAUAUUACAAUAGAUGUCGAAGCGGAGGAAAUAUAACACUGGAUCACUAGUAGGGAAAUGCCUCGUAGCUUAAAUCGUAAUCCUCGUUCGUAGGUCCUGAAGGGGGUGCAAAACAAACAUGAGUGAACCAAUUUGAUAUAAAUAUAAAUAAAACAGUUAUUAAUAUACUAACCUCCAGAUUUAUGAAAACACAUAUAUAAUGAAAAACAUACGUUUUCCGAAACCUAGCAUGAUGUGCAGUAUCUCAAAUUCAUAACUUGUAUAAGUAAUAAACACUAGUGAUUUGUCCGAUAACCCCCAGGUUCCAUGCCGGCUCCCCGUCUCUGAGCAGACAGUCAGAGGAAACUUCACUACAGGCCCCUUGCCGGCUCCCCGUCCCUGUGCUAAAUAGCCAGAGGAAACACACUCCAGGCCCUAAGCCAACACCAAACCGUUGCCCGGGACGGACUGGAAUCUAUCCUUACGUCCCGUAGCAGAAAAGACCACAAGGUAAGUACAAAACCAUUGAACAUAUCUAUAUUGAAAAGUAACUUCAUAGUAUAAAGUCAUCCAUCAUCUAUACUAUAAAGAGGUGUUCUAAACAUGUUCUAAAUAUCAUAUCGUCAUCCAUCAGCUAUUCUAUAAGAACAUGGGUUAUAGGAAAAAUAGUAAUAAUUCAAUCUAGCCUCAGUAAGCAUAUUAUCUCAUAAAGUACUUCAUAAAACAUAAGUAUUAAAUCAUGUUUUUCAUGUAUGCAUUUCUAUUAUUAAAACAUGCUUUUGAAGGGGUCCACUCACCGUACACUGAUGGUGCAACGCUUUACCAAAAAGGUAUAACGGAAUCAUCGUUAAUAAUUGCACCUAUUCACAUAAAAGAGUACCUUUAGUCAAACUCUAUUCAAACUAUUGAAUUUGGGAAAACAAACUUCAAAAACGGGUCUAGGAUGUCGAAAUUAACCUAGGAGAGGUCUUGGACGAACCCCAAAAAGUCAACGUUGACUGUUGACCGGUCAACGUCAAAGUCAACUCUAACAGUUGACCAAGUCAACGCUGACCGUUGACUGAGUCAACAGUCAAAGUCAACUGGUCAAAGGUCAAAGUCAGACUGGGCUUGGAUUGGGUUGGGCUGAAAAGGCCUUAGGGGUUUUGGGCUUAAACUAAGGUUAAAAGGUUUAAAGGGAAAAAGGAAAAUGGCCUAAAGGGCCCUAAUUAAUUAUAACAAAACCUAAAUAGGUUUUGGGUUGUAUUAGUGGGGUACGGGCCCUAAUCCUAAUGGCCCGAAGGCCUUUUGGGUCUUAACAAUUAACAAAUAAAUAAAAACAAUAAAAAGGAAAUGAGUUUGAGGAGUUGGGUUAGCUUCAACAGCUCCAGCCGACCACCAAACACAACCCUAGACCUCGAUCUAGGUACCAAAACGAAGAGCAAGACGAGGGGAGUAUUUUUAUACCUUUCCUUUCGCCUUGGAACGGCCGGAGAUGGUCGGAAUCUCCCUCGACACCCUCGGUUCGCCGGAAAUGGGUGUUCCUACACCCGAGUUCGAUUCGUCCUAAAACCUCCAAAAUCAUGCAAUAUAACCCAAUUAAAACUCAUUCCAGCAUGAAUUUAGGACAGAAGAUAGGUAAAUCGAGGCUUACCUAACCGAAGAAAUAGAGAAGCUUCGCCAGAGUUCCUUUUCGGGUUUCUGGGUUCGUCCACGUAGCACGGGGAAGAGGGAGAGAAAAGGAUGAGGAAUUGAUAAUGGCGAUGGCUUAUUCGAGCAUGCGUGUCUCUGCGUGCAUGCAUGAUUUAUCUAAAGAGAGGGAGAGAAAUGAGAGAAAUCCGAGAGGGAGAGAGACGGGACAGACAGAAAAGAAGAAGAAGAAUGAAGGGGUUCACAAGGGGGGAUAGAAAGAGAAGUGAGGGGAGUGAAAGGGGUGUUGCCACGUGGUAGAUUUAGAAAGAAAGGAAUCCAAUGCUUAGAUCCUGAUAGGGUAAUCAAAAUAGGACCAAAAUGAUAUAUUUAAAACAUUUUGGGGUAAUUACACAAUUAUAUUUUUAUAAAUAGGGGUGGGUGUUACAGGGGAUAGAAAGUUGUUCAGAGGAUUAAUCACAUAAGGGUGUAUGAUAUUCUGGACCGAAAUCCUGAUGACAACGACGAUGACGAAAACUUUGCCGAUCAACUCCUCAAAACUUCGACACAAAUUGAUGUAGAAACACUUCGGGAUACUAAUAUUGUCCAAGAACCAUUUCAAGUAAUUGGAGGUCCUUAAAUCGAAAUUCCUAUAAACUCAAUUACAAUUGAUCUUGGAAGUCUCACAAGAUACAAUCCACCUGAGGGCGCAAAUGAUGUUGUUGAUGUACCAACAGAUGAGGAUGAAUGGGAGACUAAAAGUGAUCAAAGGAAGAUAUUGAUAUUUAUUGUACUGAGGAUGAUGAUUAAGGACUUUUGACUUAUAUGCAAUGCAAUUAAGUGUAUUUAAUUUUUUGUAUAUAAACAAAUUUUAAUUUAUUAAAUUUGUAAUUGGAUAAAGGAUUUAAAAAAACAAAUUAAAGUCAAUUCAAAGCGACGAACACUAGAAAGUCAUCGCGCAUAACGUAAUAGCGCAACGAAAACAAGAAAAUUAUUCGCUCAAGGUAGGUUUGUGUGAUGCAAAGGACACAUUCGUCACAUUUGGUGGUUUGCGUGACGCAACAAGUUCAAUUCGUCGCACAAGGUCUUCAAAAUUUCCCAAAAUCAAAAUAUGGGCGCCUUUUUUUUAAAUGUUCAUUAAACAUUGGGCGACAAAUGAGGGUGAAUCGUCGUGCAAUGCCGUAUGAUGCGAUGAAUGGGAUAACUUCGUCUCUACAGGUCCUUCAAAAUUCCCAAAUUAAAAUGUAGGCGCCUUUUUUUUUUAAAUUUUCAUUAAAUAUUGCGUGACAAAAUGUGCUAUAUUUUUCGCGCUUUUUACUUAUACGCGACAAAUAUUUUUCUUUUGUCGCACAUUGUUCUCAAAUUAACCAAAGAUAGGGUGGGUUUUUUUUUUAAAAAAAAAAAUUCAUUAAAACUGAGCGACAAAUGUGUUUGUCACGCAAAGGCCUUUGCAUUAUUAGUCCCAAAGAGCCUUUCUUUCUCUCAUUUUCCAGAACCUUUAUCUCCUUAUCAAACUCUCUCACUCUAACCGUCUUUCUCACUCAAACUCUAUGUUCCUCCAACUCUCUCUCCCUACAACACUCUCUCCCUACAACUCUCUCUCCCCUCGAACUCUCUUUCUAUCUCCCUGCAACUCUCUCUCUCUCGCUUGCUACAACUCUGUUUCACGCGAACUAUCUCUCUCUCAACUUUGAGGUAAUUCGUUUUUUUUUUCAUUUGUUAAUUAUUUUAGAUGUAUGGUUUUUGUGGAUUGAUUACAUAUUAGGGUACUAGGCAUUAGGGGUUACAGAUUUAGGGAUUUAGUUUUUAUCUCAUUUUGGGGAUUUAGGGUUUAUCUCAAUUUGGGGAUUUAUGGAUUUCAAAAUUGGGGAUUUAGGGAUUUUAGAAAUAGGAAAUUUAGGGAUUUCAAAAUUUGGGGAGUAGGGUUCGGUUGGGCGUCG